GAUUUUUUAGUAGAAUAGCUUAAUUUUGUUAUUAAAUAAGAGAACAAAUUUUCAAACAAUAAGACAAAUAUAGAAAAGUACACAAAAAAUGAAAUAUUCCCCAAUCCUAAUUAAAAGAAACCCAACCAAAAUAAAUGAGUUCUAAAGUUCCUUUCGAAGCAUAGAAAGCAAUGAAAAUAGCAGUUUGUCUGAAUCAUCAUCGUCCCUUAAGAUUAAGCAGAUUUUAGGGACUAUCUUCAAGCAACCAACGAAAUCACAGUAUAAUCUAGCACGUCUGUCAACCAUCGGUCUCUCUGCACUGCAUCAGUAACAAACAGAGGCAUUUCUUCUAACUAAUAAGUUGUUUCUCCUCUCCUUAUUCCUUCUGUAGCUAAGAGAUGUGCUACUCCGUUCCCCUGUCUCGGUGCAUGUCUGAAAAUACAUCUUCGAUAAUUCUCAUUAAGUGAUCUCAAAUCCAUAGUAUAUAUGCACUAAAUUCAUAUCUCUUACCCAUUUGCAUGAAGCUUUUUCACCACUUUGAGUGCAUCACCUUCAAUCUCCACCUUCGGGAAACCCAAAUCAAGACCCAUUUGAACUGCUUGGAAGCAUGCAAGAGCCUCACAGCAAAAGUCGC
rnacentral:lncRNA from 1 species